AUGGACUGCGGCCUACUCCAGGCAGAUCAGGUCUGCCUCGACACCGGUGACCGCCUCUCGUCGCAGCGCUCGACUUACAUGGCGAGACCGGUGGACAGUUCGGCACCGUCCAUCCCCGAGCGGGCGGAGAUCCAAGAGGCCGUCCAGAACCUCGAGACAGGUGCAAUAUCAAAGGAAGCAAAUAAUAUCUUAGCGCAUGAAGAAACAAAGUCGAAGAAACAAGUGUUGUCAAAACAAGUUUCAAGUGAAGCUGAUGCUCCCAGUUUUUACCUUUGGUGUUUCGUUGUGCCACACCCAUUUGGAGGAGAGACGGGGACAUAUGGGUACAUCACCAGAAGCUACAUCAAAUUUACUUUCCAAUGCAAAAAAACUUCACAUCAUUUAGAGUUGUGA
rnacentral:rRNA from 1 species